AAAUUAAAUAGCUUAUAUUUAGAGCAUGACACUGAAGAUGUUAGGGAAAUUAUUGUAAUUUUUAAAUA
rnacentral:tRNA from 1 species